UAUAAAGGGUCCAUUAGCCAAACUGAACCAAAAACAAUUUACAGCCAAGUGUAUUUUUGUUAGGGCCAUGUAUCACGCCCCUGUAUAUAGGCCACGCCCUCAAUUGCAAUUUAUUGACAGACAAUAAAUGUAAAGAUUCUACAUUGUCCUCUUAGUCUCCAUGCUGUGAGGGAAAAACUGCUCAGAUUAGGAUGGAAGACAUUAUUCUGAAUGAGUAGGUCUGGUCCGAGAGGAAGCUUGAGAUAUUCUUCUUUCAAAAUCUUUAACAAUUGAGGCAAACAUAUUCUCCUCGGCCAGAACAGCCACCAGCGAAGAUCUUGGCGAGUAUUGUAGUUGAUUUUCCUGAACAAAUCCAGACCUCUUUGGAUCGCUUGACUACUGACGUAGGAGAGAUGCUUGCAACUUCCUGAAAUGGCCUCUGGCCCACGACAUGGCUUCCACUGAUGAAUGCUGCUACAACUACUGAGACUUUCAUGAAUACCCUUGAGAGGAUGACAGACCGAAAGGUAGACAUCUGAACUGGUAAUGAAGAAGACUGGAUUCUGUUUGAAUGCUGAACCUGAGAGAUUUUCUGUGUUGACAGCUAUGGGGAUAUGUAAAUAUGCAUCUUUCAAAUCUAUUGUUGAAAAAUGGUCUACAGCUUUAAUAAAUGGAAUU